rnacentral:lncRNA from 1 species
AUAUAUAUAUAUAUAGAACUAGAUUGGAAUACUAUUAAUAGUACCAAUAAUUUAGUGCUAUUAAGUUUUCUACCAUUGGAUUAAAAUAUGUGCGGUUAGGAUGAUAUGGACUCCCUAUGGUUGAGUGAGUGAAUACUAUUAAUAGCGCCAAUGAUUUAGUGCUAUUAAGUUUUCUACCAUUGGAUUAAAAUAUGUGCGGUUAGGAUGAUAUAGGCUCCCUAUGGUUGAGUGGAUGGUUAGUUGAAUAGUAUAAUUGAACCGAUGAAAAUGAUAAAAGAGAUAAAUCUAACGGCAGAAAAUUUGAUAGUACCGAAUGCUCCGUGCUAUCGAUAGUAUUCCAGCUGGAAUAUAUAUAUAUAUAUAUAUAUAUAUAUA